rnacentral:rRNA from 1 species
UGGUUUGAUUAUGGCUCAGGACGAACGCUGGCGGCGUGCUUAACACAUGCAAGUCGAACGGAAAGGCCCUGCUUUUGUGGGGUGCUCGAGUGGCGAACGGGUGAGUAACACGUGAGUAACCUGCCCUUGACUUUGGGAUAACUUCAGGAAACUGGGGCUAAUACCGGAUAGGAGCUCCUGCUGCAUGGUGGGGGUUGGAAAGUUUCGGCGGUUGGGGAUGGACUCGCGGCUUAUCAGCUUGUUGGUGGGGUAGUGGCUUACCAAGGCUUUGACGGGUAGCCGGCCUGAGAGGGUGACCGGCCACAUUGGGACUGAGAUACGGCCCAGACUCCUACGGGAGGCAGCAGUGGGGAAUAUUGCACAAUGGGCGGAAGCCUGAUGCAGCAACGCCGCGUGCGGGAUGACGGCCUUCGGGUUGUAAACCGCUUUCGCCUGUGACGAAGCGUGAGUGACGGUAAUGGGUAAAGAAGCACCGGCUAACUACGUGCCAGCAGCCGCGGUGAUACGUAGGGUGCGAGCGUUGUCCGGAUUUAUUGGGCGUAAAGGGCUCGUAGGUGGUUGAUCGCGUCGGAAGUGUAAUCUUGGGGCUUAACCCUGAGCGUGCUUUCGAUACGGGUUGACUUGAGGAAGGUAGGGGAGAAUGGAAUUCCUGGUGGAGCGGUGGAAUGCGCAGAUAUCAGGAGGAACACCAGUGGCGAAGGCGGUUCUCUGGGCCUUUCCUGACGCUGAGGAGCGAAAGCGUGGGGAGCGAACAGGCUUAGAUACCCUGGUAGUCCACGCUGUAAACGGUGGGUACUAGGUGUGGGGUCCAUUCCACGGGUUCCGUGCCGUAGCUAACGCUUUAAGUACCCCGCCUGGGGAGUACGGCCGCAAGGCUAAAACUCAAAGGAAUUGACGGGGCCCCGCACAAGCGGCGGAGCAUGCGGAUUAAUUCGAUGCAACGCGUAGAACCUUACCUGGGUUUGACAUGGAUCGGGAGUGCUCAGAGAUGGGUGUGCCUCUUUUGGGGUCGGUUCACAGGUGGUGCAUGGCUGUCGUCAGCUCGUGUCGUGAGAUGUUGGGUUAAGUCCCGCAACGAGCGCAACCCUUGUUCACUGUUGCCAGCACGUUAUGGUGGGGACUCAGUGGAGACCGCCGGGGUCAACUCGGAGGAAGGUGGGGAUGACGUCAAGUCAUCAUGCCCCUUAUGUCCAGGGCUUCACGCAUGCUACAAUGGCUGGUACAGAGAGUGGCGAGCCUGUGAGGGUGAGCGAAUCUCGGAAAGCCGGUCUCAGUUCGGAUUGGGGUCUGCAACUCGACCUCAUGAAGUCGGAGUCGCUAGUAAUCGCAGAUCAGCAACGCUGCGGUGAAUACGUUCCCGGGGCUUGUACACACCGCCCGUCAAGUCAUGAAAGUUGGUAACACCCGAAGCCGGUGGCCUAACCGUUGUGGGGGAGCCGUCGAAGGUGGGACUGGUGAUUAGGACUAAGUCGUAACAAGGUAUCC